rnacentral:rRNA from 1 species
UAAGCCUGUGAAGGUGUGUCGUGAGGCAUGCUGGAGGUAUCAGAAGUGCGAAUGCUGACAUAAGUAACGAUAAAGCGGGUGAAAAGCCCGCUCGCCGGAAGACCAAGGGUUCCUGUCCAACGUUAAUCGGGGCAGGGUGAGUCGACCCCUAAGGCGAGGCCGAAAGGCGUAGUCGAUGGGAAACGGGUUAAUAUUCCCGUACUUGGUGUUACUGCGAAGGGGGGACGGAGAAGGCUAUGUUGGCCGGGCGACGGUUGUCCCGGUUUAAGCGUGUAGGUGUGUGUUCCAGGUAAAUCCGGUUCACUUUAACACUGAGGCGUGACGACGAGGCACUACGGUGCUGAAGCAACAAAUGCCCUGCUUCCAGGAAAAGCCUCUAAGCAUCAGGUAACAUCAAAUCGUACCCCAAACCGACACAGGUGGUCAGGUAGAGAAUACCAAGGCGCUUGAGAGAACUCGGGUGAAGGAACUAGGCAAAAUGGUGCCGUAACUUCGGGAGAAGGCACGCUGACACGUAGGUGAAGUGAUUUACUCAUGGAGCUGAAGUCAGUCGAAGAUACCAGCUGGCUGCAACUGUUUAUUAAAAACACAGCACUGUGCAAACACGAAAGUGGACGUAUACGGUGUGACGCCUGCCCGGUGCCGGAAGGUUAAUUGAUGGGGUCAGCGCAAGCGAAGCUCCUGAUCGAAGCCCCGGUAAACGGCGGCCGUAACUAUAACGGUCCUAAGGUAGCGAAAUUCCUUGUCGGGUAAGUUCCGACCUGCACGAAUGGCGUAAUGAUGGCCAGGCUGUCUCCACCCGAGACUCAGUGAAAUUGAACUCGCUGUGAAGAUGCAGUGUACCCGCGGCAAGACGGAAAGACCCCGUGAACCUUUACUAUAGCUUGACACUGAACAUUGAGCCUUGAUGUGUAGGAUAGGUGGGAGGCUUUGAAGUGUGGACGCCAGUCUGCAUGGAGCCGACCUUGAAAUACCACCCUUUAAUGUUUGAUGUUCUAACGUGGACCCGUGAUCCGGGUUGCGGACAGUGUCUGGUGGGUAGUUUGACUGGGGCGGUCUCCUCCUAAAGAGUAACGGAGGAGCACGAAGGUUGGCUAAUCCUGGUCGGACAUCAGGAGGUUAGUGCAAUGGCAUAAGCCAGCUUGACUGCGAGCGUGACGGCGCGAGCAGGUGCGAAAGCAGGUCAUAGUGAUCCGGUGGUUCUGAAUGGAAGGGCCAUCGCUCAACGGAUAAAAGGUACUCCGGGGAUAACAGGCUGAUACCGCCCAAGAGUUCAUAUCGACGGCGGUGUUUGGCACCUCGAUGUCGGCUCAUCACAUCCUGGGGCUGAAGUAGGUCCCAAGGGUAUGGCUGUUCGCCAUUUAAAGUGGUACGCGAGCUGGGUUUAGAACGUCGUGAGACAGUUCGGUCCCUAUCUGCCGUGGGCGCUGGAGAACUGAGGGGGGCUGCUCCUAGUACGAGAGGACCGGAGUGGACGCAUCACUGGUGUUCGGGUUGUCAUGCCAAUGGCACUGCCCGGUAGCUAAAUGCGGAAGAGAUAAGUGCUGAAAGCAUCUAAGCACGAAACUUGCCCCGAGAUGAGUUCUCCCUGAGACUUAGAGUCUCCUGAAGGAACGUUGAAGACGACGACGUUGAUAGGCCGGGUGUGUAAGCGCAGCGAUGCGUUGAGCUAACCGGUACUAAUGAACCGUGAGGCUUAACCUUACAAC